rnacentral:rRNA from 1 species
CGACAUGAGGAACCUGCCUUUCAGAGGGGGACAACAGUUGGAAACGACUGCUAAUACCGCAUAACGCAUGGGUAUCGCAUGGUAUCUGUGCCAAAGAUUUAUCGCUGAGAGAUGGCCUCGCGUCUGAUUAGCUAGUUGGUGAGGUAACGGCCCACCAAGGCGACGAUCAGUAGCCGGACUGAGAGGUUGGCCGGCCACAUUGGGACUGAGAUACGGCCCAGACUCCUACGGGAGGCAGCAG